AGCUUAUGUUCCUACCUGGCUUCCCCUUGCCUCCAGAGGAUUGAUUUUUGCAGUUACAGCCCAUGCUGCUAGUUAGUUUACUGUUACAUCAGGGCAGAAACUGAUAUAUACCAACAUGUAGAGGAUGAAGUCCUCCACUGUGGGUGGUGGAAGAGGCUUCUUCUACCUCCUCCCCAUAGUUCCUGAAGGCACCAAGACUGUCACAGUAAUUGCUAUAUUAUGAAAAGAGUAAAUUGAAGAAAUGGAAACUGCAAAUUACACCAAGCCCCUAAAAUGCUCAUAGACUUCUUUGUGGAGAGGAAGAUAAUUUCCUUUGGUGGAUGCAUUGCACAGCUCUUCUUCUACACUUUGUUGGGGCUUCGGAGAUGUUCUUGCUCACAGUGAUGGCCUUUGACCGCUAUGCUGCUAUCUGCCGACCCCUCCACUAUGCUACCAUCAUGAAUCCACGUCUCUGCUGUAUCCUGGUGGCUCUCUCCUGGAUGGGGGGCUUCAUUCAUUCUAUAAUACAGGAACGCAAAGGCACGGAUUGACGUUAUGAGUCCUGAUUUUUGAGUUGACUUCUCAUCACCUGGAAGUGAAUAAAACAGUAGACUUCUCUAACAUUUUGCAACACAGCAUGAAAAAAUAUAAAGUAAAAAAGAUUUAUAUAUAUAAAAUAUGAUAAAAUGAUGAGUUAUGUUUCUAAA
rnacentral:sRNA from 1 species